UCGGAGCUGGGGACCGAACCCAGGGCCUUGCGCUUCCUAGGUAAGCGCUCUACCACUGAGCUAAAUCCCCAGCCCCUAAUCUGUUAUAUCUUAACAAAACUAGACACUGACAGCAAAAGAGAGAACAGAAAUUAUACAAAUGCAUGGAGAUUAAAUAACACAUUCUUUUACUUUGUAUAUUGAGAGUCAUGUUAUCCUAGCAUGUGCUAUAUACCUAGGCAGGCCUUACCUUAAGGGUAACCAUCUAAGUCCAACCUCUCAACUGCUGCAAUUACAGACAUCUAAUACCUGACUUAACACACUUUUGGGUGAUAACUGGAUCAUGGAAGAAAUUACCGAGGAAGUAAGUUUGAAAACCUAGAAUGAAAUAAAUAAAUAUAACCUUGGGAACAUACCAAAGGUGGGUCAGGUCUCUGAGCUCUACAUGUGCACUAUGGCACAUCUGCAUCCAGACACACACAAUAAAUAAUCAUAUAAAUAAAUGUAUCUAUGUUAAAUCAAAAAGCUAAAUUAAACUUCUAAGUCAUGUGACAUAUCAAAAUUAAAUGGAG
rnacentral:lncRNA from 1 species